rnacentral:piRNA from 1 species
UGACUCAGUUCUCCGCACAACCGUUC